CCGGAACAUUCGGCAUCCAAAGAACAGGAACCCUUUGGGCUGAGAACAAAACAAGCUGAUGGCCAAACUUGGCACACAGAUCCAGCAUGGCCAACUGUGCAUACAGGGGAAGAUUUUCAGCAACAGAAGAAGAACUAGCUAGACUCAAGGAAAUUCUAAGAAAACUGGAGGCCACAGAGUGAAACAGUCUCCCCUGGAUGCUUUUUGGAAGAAGCCUUCAAGGGGUCUCCAGAUGGCCUAAAAUGUUAUCCCUUAAUUCUGUAAGGCUGAAAACAAAAAUGACUGGGAGAAGAAUUG